AGAGUUUGAUCCUGGCUCAGGACGAACGCUGGCGGCGUGCCUAACACAUGCAAGUGGAGCGACGAACCGGGCUUCGGCCCGGGGCAAAGCCGCGAACGGGUGAGUAACACGUGGGUAACCUGCCCCGAUGACCGGGACAACCCGAGGAAACUCGGGCUAAUACCGGAUGUGCCCUACGACCUCAAGGUCGCUGGGGAAAGGAAGCUUCGGCCUCCGCAUCGGGAUGGGCCCGCGGCCCAUUAGCUUGUUGGUGAGGUAAUGGCUCACCAAGGCGACGAUGGGUAGCUGGUCUGAGAGGACGAUCAGCCACACUGGGACUGAGACACGGCCCAGACUCCUACGGGAGGCAGCAGUGGGGAAUCUUGCGCAAUGCGCGAAAGCGUGACGCAGCAACGCCGCGUGGGGGAAGAAUGCCUUCGGGUUGUAAACCCCUUUCAGUUGGGACGAAGCUUCGGCGGUGAAUAGCCGUUUGGAGUGACGGUACCUUCAGAAGAAGCCCCGGCUAACUACGUGCCAGCAGCCGCGGUAAUACGUAGGGGGCAAGCGUUGUCCGGAAUCAUUGGGCGUAAAGAGCGUGUAGGUGGCUCGGUAAGUCCGCUGUGAAAGUCCAGGGCUCAACCCUGGAAUGCCGGUGGAAACUGUCGAGCUAGAGUCCGGAAGAGGCGAGUGGAAUUCCUGGUGUAGCGGUGAAAUGCGCAGAUAUCAGGAGGAACACCAAUGGCGAAGGCAGCUCGCUGGGACGGUACUGACACUGAGACGCGAAAGCGUGGGGAGCAAACAGGAUUAGAUACCCCCGUAGUCC
rnacentral:rRNA from 1 species